CGGAAGGGCUGGUAGACAGACUCACAUACCCAGCGCUGAUAAGAAGUUCUGUGCAAAUCUCUUUCAUGCUUUGCUUUUCCUCUGAUAAAUGUUUAAGAAGAGAUUUGUCUUACCAUAACGACUGUGGUGUGAGAAAGUGAAAAGAGCAGGGAUUUUAUAUUCCUGAAUUAGAGAUUUACAAAUUUUCUUUUACUUUUUAUUUGUUAAAUGGGGUGUGCUACCAGCAUCAGCUACCAUCUCCCAUGCCCUUACAUCCUUACACUGCUGUGGUUCCAAGCCACUCAUGUGUACAAGUUUGAAGGAGCAGGGCAGGUACCUCUGUGGUGUUCCAGUGUCUGUUUUUCUCUGGAUGGAAACAGGACAGCCCAGGCCCCACCCUGCCGGUGGAAAGUUCAUGGAAACCAUCAAUCAGCACCAGUUGCCUUUAGCAACCAACAACAAAUCUGCCCCCUUUGGCCACGGAGAUCGAGAGUGCGUGGUUAUUACUGCAUCGAUGUUCAGCUGAGGAGUCCUGGCAUUGAGAAGACUCCACCUGUAAGAACUUCCAGAGAGCACAAAGAAGACUGGGAGGUCCUGGGGGAACUCUCCCACCAGAAAGCACAUUUCAGGCUUUCCACACUGCUUCCUCAUCACAUCAUCAGCAAGAGAGGGAAUGACUUGGACACUCUACAACAUGGAAGCCUGUACCCUAGGAAACCUGAUAGCAGCCAGACUGGAUGUGCCAGAAAUCAGAACUGCUUCUUGGAUGCACAGAGAGAUCUGCAGGAACCUCUCUACUCUGAACAGUGGAAAACAAGCCAUCACUGUGCCAGAUACUGAAGCUAGCAGUGACUGUAUUUAAACAAAGAUUUAAUAUACAGAGGUCUAGUAUGGUAUCCUUAGCCAUCAUGGAUAAGAGGUUUCAGGUUCCAUCAACUCUCCAUUUUAUUUAAUGUAUGAGUCAGCGGCUCAAACAAAAUAGUGAUUUAACCUUGACACAGGUCAGUUUCAUUUUGUCUGUUUAAGUGGGAGCAAAAUGCUUCAGCAUGGGAUUUUAAUGUGCUUUCAACGUAGUUUGACUUUUUCUCCACCUGUGUGACCAGCAUGACCUGUGGAUGUCAGGAUGCUGUCAGCUGGAAUAUAACUUGAGCGUCGCUAUACUAUCAAGAGAGUGUUGUUCUGUAGUGGUAUUUGGCUCUUUCAUAAUCCCUUUCAGCCAAACAGUUUUUCUAAGAUGAGUAAGAUUCAUUAGAACUAGAUAAAGAUUUACUUAAUCGCUGUUGUCAUUUUUUCACAGAACUAAAAUAAGGUUAGAGGAAAGCAAAAGAUGUUUUCCCCCUCGGACUCCAUUGAAAAGCUUUGAAUUUUCACUGCCAAGAAUGAAAAUAGGGAAAAAAAAAAAGAAAAAAGAAAAAAAAAAAAGGCGUGUAUGGUUUUUAUUACAAACAGCCAAACUUUAAUACAAAAAUAGGAAUUUUCUUUCCAACAGUAUCCUUUCAACCCAAGGCUUCUUUUUGGCUUCAUGAGCUUUCAGUCAGCUCUAAUUCUUAUCCUUGUCGUAUAGUUAAGGCAUCCAAUCCUCAGCCAAAUGAAGUGGUUUGCCCCAGGUGCCCCAGUAGGCUGGUGGCAGAGCCCAGAAGAGUCCAGUUCCCUGACAUCCAUUCUCUUGCUGGAGCCUGUAUUCCAUUCACACCCCUCCACAAGAAGAGACGUUCGUCAGUGCUCCCAAAACAGCUCCAAUAUUGCGAUCUUCAUUCUCAGAAUAGAGAACUGGCCUGAUAACAGUGUAUCUGCCGAUAAAUGCUGACAUUAUUUGGAGUUAAACAUCCUUUGGAAAGAUUCUGCUGCAGACAGACAUUUGCAACUGUAAGGAAUAUUAUGUAGUUUUCUCUGGCUUACUAUUUUAUCUUUCUCUGGCUACUGAUUACUGAGCACUUCCUUUAAGAAACAAUAAAAAAAGAGAGAAAAUGUAAAUGAUGGCACUGAAGUCAACACAUUCCUCUGCCAGAUAAAAUGGCACUUAGCAAUCAGAGUGAGCCUGAGCUACAUUAACAGCACUGGAUAUUUAAAGCAGUGAUUGGGCUUAAUUUGAAUACAUCAUUUUUCAGGAUCUAUAUAAAUAUUAUCUAUAUACUGCAUAUCUUUCUGAUUUGAGGGCAUCGGAAAGGGUAUAUUUUCACACUAUCUGCUGCUUCUUUACCUACUGCUCUAGAUUUUCCACAGAACUGUACUUUGCUCUUUGAGG
ensembl:lncRNA